rnacentral:sRNA from 1 species
AGGCUGAUGCACAACUGCUCUGAGCCUCGACCCUCACUUUGUCCUCAGUACAAGUAAAACAGAACCUUUUCUCUCCUUUGAGAAGGAUUUUGCAGCCCCAGACCAGACCUCGUCUCUCGCCUGGAACAGUGGGAAGAGCCGUGGGUUGAAGACCGGGAGAGACCUGAGCUCCAGGCAGUGCAGAGAGGGCCCCAGCCAGGGGCAAGGAAGUCUGCAGACCCCAAGAGACACUGUGAUCAUCCAGCUUGGGCUCACAAGAAAACCCACGUGCGGCGAGAAAGAGCCAGGGAAAGAAGCAGCUUUAGGAAGGGCUUCAGGCUGGACACGGAUGACGGGCAGCUUCCCAGAGCUGCUCCAGAAAGGACAGACGCCAAGCCCACGGCUUUCCCGUGUCAGAUGCUCACGCAGUGUUGUGGGCUGCGGCCGGGCCGCAGAGAGCGCCGGAAGCAGCGCGCGGUAGAGCUGUCGUUCAUCUGCGGCACGUGCGGGAAGGCGCUCAGCUGCCACAGCCGGCUACUCGCUCACCAGACGGUGCACACGGGAACCAAGGCCUUCGAG